UGGGGAAUAUCGGACAAUGGGCGAAAGCCUGAUCCAGCCAUGCCGCGUGUGUGAAGAAGGUCUUCGGAUUGUAAAGCACUUUAAGUUGGGAGGAAGGGCAUUAACCUAAUACGUUAGUGUUUUGACGUUACCGACAGAAUAAGCACCGGCUAACUCUGUGCCAGCAGCCGCGGUAAUACAGAGGGUGCAAGCGUUAAUCGGAAUUACUGGGCGUAAAGCGCGCGUAGGUGGUAUGUUAAGUUGGAUGUGAAAUCCCCGGGCUCAACCUGGGAACUGCAUUCAAAACUGACUGACUAGAGUAUGGUAGAGGGUGGUGGAAUUUCCUGUGUAGCGGUGAAAUGCGUAGAUAUAGGAAGGAACACCAGUGGCGAAGGCGACCACCUGGACUAAUACUGACACUGAGGUGCGAAAGCGUGGGGAGAAAACA
rnacentral:rRNA from 1 species